rnacentral:rRNA from 7 species
UUGACCUCGGAUCAGGUAGGAAUACGCGCUGAACUUAAGCAUAUCAAUAAGCGGAGGA